rnacentral:rRNA from 1 species
UACGUAGGGUGCGAGCGUUGUCCGGAAUUACUGGGCGUAAAGAGCUCGUAGGUGGUUUGUCGCGUUGUUCGUGAAAUCUCACGGCUUAACUGUGAGCGUGCGGGCGAUACGGGCAGACUGGAGUACUGCAGGGGAGACUGGAAUUCCUGGUGUAGCGGUGGAAUGCGCAGAUAUCAGGAGGAACACCGGUGGCGAAGGCGGGUCUCUGGGCAGUAACUGACGCUGAGACGCGAAAGCGUGGGGAGCAAACAGG